rnacentral:rRNA from 1 species
ACGAAGGGGGCUAGCGUUGUUCGGAAUAACUGGGCGUAAAGCGCACGUAGGCGGAUUGGAAAGUUAGAGGUGAAAUCCCUGGGCUCAACCCAGGAACUGCCUUUAAAACUAUCAGUCUAGAGGUCGAGAGAGGUGAGUGGAAUUCCGAGUGUAGAGGUGAAAUUCGUAGAUAUUCGGAGGAACACCAGUGGCGAAGGCGGCUCACUGGCUCGAUACUGACGCUGAGGUGCGAAAGCGUGGGGAGCAAACAGG